AACUCUCCGUCCCGGAAGCACAAAGUCCAGAAGCCAUUUUCCGGCCGAGCAGAGACUUCAGCGUUCCGGGGCGCGGACAGAGAGGCCACGCCCAGAAUCCAGUCCUGAUUACUUCCUGUCUCCACAACCCAGUGGUGACUUCCUGAACCAAGCGGAGUCAUGGCUACCACCUCAGCGCUAAUGUGGAAGCGCUCCGGGUUGUCAGGGCAGCCGCCGGACUGCUUUGCGUAGUGGAGGGAAGUGAGGCUGUCAGACAGGAUGAGGCAGGGGUGCGCUGUGUUUGGGUCCAAAGUCACUGGAGCUAAAACACAGGAACUGCUCCUGUAUGACGGAGAUGGUCUCGGUGAGGGACAGCACUUCUGCGGACAGUUCCUUGAUCUUAUCCUUCAUCCCCGUGAUCUUCGCCUGUUCUUCUUGCUUCACGGCUGCUAAUCUGGCCGACUCCUCCUGACAGAGCUCCUGACGCAGCUGCUCAAAAUGACUCCUGAUCAGUCUCUGCGUUUCCAGCGCCUGAUUCUACGAGAGAUUAUUGCAAAUUAUGUUAUUUUUUUGUAUUUAUGAGACAGGUAUAGGACAUCUCUCGUCACGAGCUAUACCUUGAUGUACUUUGAGAUAUCCUUGGAGGUCCGCUGAAUUUCUAUGAGGCUGUCCACUUUAUCUUGCAAGAGUUUGAGGGUUAAAGCAAGUUCAUCCUGCAGAGUGAGACAGAGAUAAGUCUUAGGCCUGCAUUGAUCACUAAAAGUUAACAGCGCGGAGUAUCAGGAUUAUCAGGACGGACUUGUGGAGCAGCAUUCUGCCUGUAGGUGUUACAGUAUACACUUCAGGUGAACCACAACAACAUUGAGUUCAGCAGUUGAACGAAACAGAGAAAACUCCACAAUUUACUUUUCUUCCCCUUACCUUACAAUCCAGCACGGCCUCUUCUAUUGGCGAGCAGUCGUGGGUCUUGUGAAGUUUAGACGUCUGACACACGACACAGAUCGCCUGCUGGUCGACCAGACAGAACAGUUUCAACCUCUCCCCGUGCAGGGUACAGUUCGUCUCCUCGUCCAGUGCCGCGGACGCCUGGCUCCUGGCCUGCAGCAGAGCCUCGCAGACGUUCUUCAGAGCCAGGUUGGUGGGGGGACUGGACUUGGUGGCUCUUUUCCUGCACACCGGACACUCACGUGAGCACGUCUCCCAGCAGCGCUUCAGACAGAUCCUGCAGAAGCUGUGGCUGCAUGACAGCAGGACCGGGUCCGUGAAGAUGUCGCAGCACACGGGGCAGGUCAGGUCGUCCUCCGGCAGUGACAUGAUCGCCCCCCCCUCGUCAUGUACAGAUACAGUUAAUCCACGGUUCACAGCAGCAGACGCCCUUAGUGAUUCCUCUGUUCCACCAUAACACAGAGUGCCUCGUCAAAACUUGCCUCACGAGAGCCUCACAGCGCACCAACCACCUCUCUAUUGUUCUUCACUAAAUGCUCUUGGUUUUUCCUGUGCAUGACUUCGGUGGGAGUAACUUAAAUCAUGUGGCAGAGUGAGACACACUGUAUGUGGCGGAGCACGGGAACAGGAAAUAAAGCCCCAUUGGUCAGCUUUUUCGGAGCGCUUAAAACUGGUCAGUAACUCAGAGCCUGUUUCGGAAUGCAAGCGUUCUGGAUACGAAUGUGAAUGUUUCAGUGUUGACGUCCGUGUCAACAGCUCCGGGGCUGCACACACUGACAAACCCCUCCGGCUGUUUAUCGAUUCCAACAGGUUUGGCCACUGACUAUUUAAACAAAGGAUGUGUUUGGGUGAAAACAAAAUGCUGCAGCUGAUUGCUUGCAUCAGUGAAGUGAGUGUAAGUGUGACAUUGCUGCACUGCUCUCCAGAGGUGUUCAGGUGGUUUCUGACGUCUUGUAGGUGAGGUUCCACCUGAACAGGAUAAACCAGCUCAGAGCAGCCACAGAUUUCGUCAUAGCCUUCAACAGUACACUCUGAACUCAUUUUUCAGGUCAAGAAUAUAAUCGAUAUAAUAAUAGGAACCACUCUCAUGGACUAAUGAUUCACCAUUGCCAGACUAUAGUUUAUAGUUUUACGUUAAAUGACUGAUCCAAUGUAGAAGACACUGAUUCUAAAACGCGAUUCUGCAGUUAAACUUUUUUAAUUUGACAUUUAACAGAUCAUUUUAAGAGUAACACAAACCUGUCUUGUCUUGUCAGCCCAUCCCUUUAUGUGUUAAGUUUUUUCAUUUAUUUAAUUUUUAUCAACUUGAAAUUCACUCAUAAUCUGUAUGAUUUCAUGAUAGUGGAUUUUAUGAACAUGUGAUUAUAUUUUCAUAUAUUUAUCUAUAUAUUAUGAUAAAUAUAUAUGUGAUGAUAUAUUUCAUUAUUAGAUAGUAUUGAUACAAACUACAAAAUACUAUAAUUGUAAGAAAAAAAACAUUUAAAAAUCAUUUACUCAUGAAUUUUCUCAUCACUGUUCUGUAGAAUAUUUGUCAAAUAGUACUCUAACUUUAAAUAAUAGACAGUUUAAACGUCCCUGUGCCUCCUGCGCUGGAGUCCUCUUAGUGUUUUGUCACACUACUUGUACAUCACUGUGUUUAUCUCGGCUAUUCACUUGCAUACAAAAUAAGGAACCAGAGGCACAUGGGUUUUUUUUUCUGGAAAAAGAUCUGUGAAAAGCAAAGUAUUGAAUAUGUUGCAGCCAAAAAUAGAUGAAAGAACAAAGAGCACAUUUUAGUCUCACCCUCAGAAGAAGUGUGGAAGCAGGUUGUUAUUUUGAUUGUGACACGUUUUUUUCAUGGAUGAAAUUUUUGAUUUGUUCUUGACUCAGAGUUGAACAGUCAGUAAUGUAGAGCGAUGUGCAGCUUUAGGUCGUUAGGGUGGAGAAUGUUUCUUGUCUGUCGGUUUAUCUCUCUGUCUGCCACAGAACUUGGUGGAGGACGCAGUUUGGGUCAAAGAACUCAUUCAAUUUUGGUGGCGAUCGAGAUUUUUGUUCUCUUUCCUUAACAUUGUGAGAUGAGUGUUUUCAACAUUUUCCUUGAUGUCUCAAAGAAUAAUUCAUGCAUCUUGAUAAAGAAGAAAAACCUGCUAUGUUUAGGGGACUCAUAAUUAUGAGUGUGUGCCAUUUGUGUGCAAUUUGGUGCAGAUCCAGUGAAAUCUGGAUCUAGUGAAUUUAAACGUGAUUCCAUAGGGGAACUGAAGGGGAGGAAUGGGCUCUACUGAGUUCUAUUUUAUAAGGAGAGGCGGUGGAAUAGUGGCAGAAACUUGGACUAUGGGCAGAAAAGGUCUCUGGUUCGUCUCUGAUUCGACUCCACUGAGAAACAACAAAAAGACGAACCUGGAUUGAUCUGUCCAAAAAUCCAAGAGGAUUCUCCCUACCCUGUCUAGUGCCCCUGAGCAAGGCACCUUACUCCCCCAACAUCUGCUCCCUGGGCGCCGUACAUGGUCGCUCACUGCUCUGUGGGUCCUGCACCAGAUGGGUCAAAAGCAGGGGUUAAAUUUCCCUACCUGCAUGAGUAUGUCUGUGCAUGUGUUUGGGAAAAAUAAAUGCAUCUUAAUCUUAA